AAAAGAAUUCAUGCAGGGUGAGUACGCCCAAGCUUUGCAGGAGCAUGCAAUGUGUGCGCUUGCAAAUAUUUCUGGUGGUUUGUCAUAUGUCAUUUCAAGUCUUGGUCAAAGCCUUGAAUCUUGCACCUCACCUGCACAAGUAGCUGAUACAUUGGGGGCUUUAGCUUCAGCUCUCAUGAUAUAUGAUAGCAAAGCAGAAAAUUCAAGAGCAUCAGAUCCUUUGGAAGUGGAAGAAACACUGGUUAAGCAAUUUAAGGCCCGCUUACCCUUUCUAGUGCAGGAGCGUACUAUUGAAGCACUUGCCAGUUUGUAUGGGAAUUCUGUACUGUCUAGCAAACUUGUGAAUUCUGAUGCAAAACGCCUAUUGGUUGGUUUGAUCACAAUGGCCACAAAUGAAGUUCAGGAUGAGUUGAUAAGGUCACUUCUCUUUCUAUGCAAAAAUGAAGGUAGCUUAUGGCAUGCACUACAAGGUCGUGAGGGAAUUCAGCUAUUAAUCUCUCUUCUUGGACUCUCAUCAGAGCAACAACAGGAGUGUGCUGUUGCUCUUCUUUGUCUUCUAUCCAAUGAAAAUGAUGAAAGUAAGUGG
rnacentral:misc_RNA from 1 species